AUUGAACGCUGGCGGCAUGCUUUACACAUGCAAGUCGAACGGUAACAGGCCGCAAGGUGCUGACGAGUGGCGAACGGGUGAGUAAUGCAUCGGAACGUGCCCAGUCGUGGGGGAUAACGCAGCGAAAGCUGUGCUAAUCCCGCAUACGAUCUAUGGAUGAAAGCGGGGGACCGUAAGUCCUCGCGUGAUUGGAGCGGCCGAUGGCAGAUUAGGGAGUUGGUGGGGUAAAGGCCUACCAAGCCGACGAUCUGUAGCUGGUCUGAGAGGACGACCAGCCACACUGGGACUGAGACACGGCCCAGACUCCUACGGGAGGCAGCAGUGGGGAAUUUUGGACAAUGGGCGCAAGCCUGAUCCAGCAAUGCCGCGUGCAGGAAGAAGGCCUUCGGGUUGUAAACUGCUUUUGCACGGAACGAAACGGUCUGGGUUAAUACCCUGGGCUAAUGACGGUACCGUAAGAAUAAGCACCGGCUAACUACGUGCCAGCAGCCGCCGCGGUAA
rnacentral:rRNA from 1 species